ACAUUCUCAAAGUCUAUCCAUUUUCUCUUCUCUGGUAUGCUUUCUCAUUUUUUCAAAACACACACAACUAUGUCAGCUAUGUAUAGAGAGACCGAGUGAAAAGGGGAGCCGGCCAACAGUUUUCCGGCGAACCCCUAAGGUUCCAAGUAGAGCGAUGAUAUGCGGUGACGUUUCGCUGUUUAAUCACUGGCAACCAGCUUCAAAUCUGCCGAGUGAGAGGCGCCAUCUUUACGUACAUCAUUGUGGUCGACGUGAUACAAUACAGGUUAGAUGGUUAUAGAUCUAGGGUUUAUGACAUGUAAUCGGUUCCAAUGGGAAUCAGCUUUAGGGCUAAUCGAAACGGAUUCGGAUUUAGGGCUAAUUGAAAUGAAGUACGCUACAAGACAACUGGCGAACGAUGGCGGUUACCGCCGGUGGCCAUGAUGCCGAUGAUUGUGUGUAUGUGUGUUUUUUUUUUUAAAUUUUGGUUAUUGAAUUGGGUGUAACAGGGGAGACAGAUGUUAAGGCGGUGGUGUGUGUCGCGGAAUCCGAAAAAAGGACAAACGAAGGCGGUGGUGGGGGAGGGGAAUAACGGAAAUGUAUGCCCCCAGUGACAGUUCGCCAGCGUUCUUCUUAAGGAUUGGUGAUGUUUGAGUUUGGUUUCCAACGGCAAAGGUGUUUUCCGGUGACUCCUGUUAUCCGGUCAUAUUUGGUAUUCAUUUUUGCUGUUAUCAAGCUUCAAAGUGGCUGCUUAUGUAACACGUCCAUUUUGGUCACAUAAGUAUAUAACUUCACUACUUGUAUAUUUGUAAACUUGACAGCAUAAAUAUAUAUAUUUUAAAACAAUCAUAAAAACCUUACUGGACUUAUGUCUAUUUGAAAAUUCAUUCGCUGGAUAAAGUUGGUGGUUAAUAAUAGCAUUUCAUGAUUUAAAAAAUGUACUUAACAAAGCAUAUUUAAUAUUAAUUCAUGGAAAUAUGAAAAAAAAAUUAUUCAAAGUGACAUGAGUGGGAUGGUUCUAACAAAAGUAUAGGGAUUUAAUUUCUAAAGAGUUUUAUUUUGUAAUAGGUAGAAAAGGGAUGUUUAGUGCAGAUUCGAUCAAUUCUAAGUUUUUGUAACAGUAAUUCUUCAUUUGGAGUUAUUGGAAACUCUCGACUCGAAUCUGAGUUUGUUUCGGGUCUUAGUCAAGCUCGGUCAAAUUUGGUCAAACGACUCAACACCAAUUAGCAGCAGUCAGUAGGAGCAUACGAGUUGGUUAUGAGUGGGAAGUUCAUGCAUUUCGUCGAACAAAUGGUGCUCACUUUAUAGAAACCGGACGUGCAUGCCGUCUUAUAGUAAUCAAAGUCUCUUUGAUUCACACUUUUUGUCGAACACAUGGGGCUGAUGUAAAUUUGAAAAAUGAUGGUGGCAGAACUGCUCUUCACUAUGCUACUAGCAAGGGUUGGGUGAAAGCUAAAAUUUUGCUUUCUAAUGGAGCAAAGAUUGAUGCAAAGGACAAGAUUGGUAGCAAACGGAGUCGCUGGAUAUUUGUUUCUACAAAAAUUGCAAUGGUACAUGUAAGUGUUGAGAUGGAACCAGCAAAGUUCUUGCAUAAGCUUAUUAUUUGGGACAUGAUAUGAAGGAGAUGGUCUCCUUGCAAAUCUCUUAGCCCGCGCCGCAACGCGGGCAGGUCGAUCUUCUAGUAACACUCUAAUUUUCAACAAUUCUAUGCAAUACAUGUUGUACCAUGUGCUUUAUAGCUUUAUUAUGUUGUAUAGUGUUGUUCUAUUACUUUAAUUUGUUGUACAUUCUCACAGUCUAUCCACUUUCUCUGGUAUGCUUUCUCAUCUUUUCAAAACACACACAACUAUGUUAACUAUGUAGAGAGAGACCAAGUGAAAAGGGGAGUUUGCCAACAGUUUUCCGGCGAACCCCUAAGGUUCCAAUUAGAGCGAUGAUAUGCGGUGACGUUUCACUGUUUAAUCACUGGCAACCAGCUUCAAAUCUGCCGAGUGAGAGACGCCAUCGUUACGUACAUCGUUGUGGUCGACACGAUACAAUACAGGUUAGAUGGUUAUCGAUCUAGGGUUUAUGACAUGUAAUCGGUUCCAAUCGGAAUCAGCUUUAGGGCUAAUCGAAACAGAUUUGGAUUUAGGGCUAAUUGAAAUGAAGUAUGCUACAAGACAAUUGGCGAACGAAGAUGGCGGUUACCGCCGGUGGCGAUGAUGCCGAUGAUUGUGUGUAUGGUCUCUGUGUGUGUGUGUGUGUUUUUUUUUUAAUUUUGGUUAUUGAAUUGGGUGUAAGAGGGAGGACAGAUGUCAAGGCGGUGGUGUGCGUCGCGGAAUCCGGAAAAAGGACAGACGAAGGCGGUGGAGGGGGAGGGGAAUAACGGAAAUGUAUGCCCCAGUGACCGUUCGCCAGCGUUCUUCUUAAGGAUUGGUGUUUGAGUUCGGUUUCCAACGGCAAAGGUGUUUUCCAGUGACUCCUGUUAUCCGGUCAUAUUUGGUAUUCAUUUUUGUAGUUAUCAAGCUUCAAAGUGGCUGCUUAUGUAACACGUCCAUUUUGGUCACAUAAGUAUAUAACUUCACUACUUGUAUAUUUGUAAACUUGAUAGCAUGAAUAUAUAUAUUUUAAAACAAUCAUAAAAACCUUACUGGACUUAUGUCUAGUUGAAAAUUCAUUCGCUGGAUAAAGUUGGUGGUUAAUAAUAGCAUUUUCUGAUUUAAAAAAUGUACUUAAAAAAGCAUAUUUAAUAUUAAUUCAUGGAAAUAUGAAAAAAAAAGAAAAAAAAUUGUUCAAAGUGACAUGAGUGGGAUGGUUCUAACAAAAGUAUAGGGAUUUAAUUUCUGAAGAGUUUUAAUUUGUAAUAGGUAGAAAAGGGAUGUUUAGUGAAGAUUCCAUUAAUUCUAAGUUUUGGUAAUGGUAAUUUUUCAUUUGAAGUUAUCGGAAACUCUCGACUCGAAUCUGAGUCUGUUUCGGGUCUUAGUCAAGCUCGGUCAAAUUUGGUCAAACGGCUCAACACCAAUUAGCAGCAGUCAGUAGGAGCAUACGAGUUGGUUAUGAGUGGGAAGGGGCUGAUGUAAAUUUGAAAAAUGAUGGUGGCAGAACUGCUCUUCACUGUGCUACUAGCAAAGGUUGGGUGAAAGCUAAAAUUUUGCUUUCUAUUGGAGCAAAGAUCGAUGCAAAGGACAAGGUUGUAACUCCCAUCUUUAGAUUGUUCCGCUUUGGACUUUAAAAAAUAAUCUUAUAUUUAAUCUUCGGUUGCUUAUUUAUUGAUGCUUACCCUAUAUAGAUUGGUAGCAAACGCAGUCGCUGGAUAUUUGUUUCUAUAAAAAUUGCAAUGUUGUACA